GAGAGUUGGGUAGUCCGCACGAGCGCACCUCACUUUUAGUUGCCAUCAUUAAGUUGGGCACUCUGUAAAGAACUGCCAGUGAUAAGCUGGAGGAAGGUGGGGAUGACGUCAAGUCCUCAUGGCCCUUACGUGUUGGGCUACACACGUGCUACAAUGGCAUCUACAACAGGAAGCAAAACGGCAACGUUAAGCAAAUCCCGAAAAGAUGCCUCAGUUCGGAUUGCACUCUGCAACUCGAGUGCAUGAAGCUGGAAUUACUAGUAAUCGUGGAUCAGCGUGCCACGGUGAAUGCGUUCCCGGGUCUUGUACACACCGCCCGUCACACCAUGGGAGUUGGUUCUACCUUAAGGCAAGGUUUUAAACCCUUGACCACGGUAUAGUCAGCGACUGGGGUGAAGUCGUAACAAGGUAGCCGUAGGGGAACCUGCGGCUGGAUUACCUCCCUUCU
rnacentral:rRNA from 1 species